UACGUAGGUCCCGAGCGUUGUCCGGAUUUAUUGGGCGUAAAGCGAGCGCAGGUGGUUUAUUAAGUCUGGUGUAAAAGGCAGUAGCUCAACCAUUGUAUGCAUUGGAAACUGGUAGACUUGAGUGCAGGAGAGGAGAGUGGAAUUCCAUGUGUAGCGGUGAAAUGCAUAGAUAUAUGGAGGAACACCGGUGGCGAAAGCGGCUCUCUGGCCUGUAACUGACACUGAGGCUCGAAAGCGUGGAGAGCAAACAGG
rnacentral:rRNA from 1 species